rnacentral:tRNA from 1 species
GGGGAUUAAAGAUAAUUGGAUAAUCGUCUGGCCUCCAAAGCCAUGAUACGCGGGUUCGAUUCCUGCAUCCCCUG